CAAGCUACACCACAACAGCCCAGUAUAACCCAUCAAAGCCAGGCUGAUGCUCAGGGCUUCAACAGAAUUGGGCAGAACAGCCACGAACCCCCUCCUAAAACUACGAUCUGGACCUCAGCAGACACCAUCAGGGUGGGUGGCCACGAACUGCAUCUGGACAGGGGUCUUCCCACGCCCCUCUCCCCCGGCUAUCCUGGGCUGAGAGCUUUUCCGCCUGCUCUGUCCCUGUUCCUGCCCAGCCGAACAGAUGAUGACAGAGAACACUCUCUCCACCAGGCCUGACCAAAGGUCUGGCUAGGCUGAUGGUUACGAAAGAGAGGGAGAAAGAGAAGAGACUUAGGGGACCCCUCCCCCGCAAGCAAUCCUCCACGGGGAAGGCUGGCCGUGGGAAGCUGUCCCUACCCAGUGCAGACUCGAGUCUGGCUUGAGAGCCCUGGCCCACCUCUGGACAGGGUCCUGAUCCAAGGCUGGCGCUUCAUCUCAGGGCAGGGGCAAGGUGGGGGGACCCUGCCUGUCUGCCUGGAAGACACCCACAUGGCUUCCUUCGAUUCGUCCUGCAGAUCUCCCUGGCAUCACUUUCUGAGACACCGUACUCAACCCCCUCCAACAGGGAAAGCCCCCGCGCUAUGUCCUGACUCCCCCAGCUGCGCCUGGCUCCCCCACCUGUGCCUGGCUCCUCCAGAGACACCUGUUCCAGCCCAGUGUGCGGUGUGCUCAUUGUGCCAUCUCCUUGGGUGGAGUGAUGGCUCCAUGAGGGCAGCUUUAGGUUCAAGUUGGUUUGGAAUCCAACAGGCCUGACAUCAUCAUUUCUCACCAGUGUAACCUUGGCUCAUGAAUUCUGCUUUCUGAGCCUCAGUUUCCUCAUCUGCAGAAUGGGGGCAGCACAGAGCCUCCCUCAUUGCCUUGUUGUGAGCGUUCCCCAGGAUCAUGAGUGCUUUAAAAGGUGCUUAGGUCAGCUGAGCACAAUGGUUCACACCUGCAAUCCCAACACUUUGAAGGCUGAGACGGAAGGAAGAUCGCUUGAGCCCAGGCGUUCAAGACCAGCCUGA
rnacentral:lncRNA from 1 species